UACGGAGGGAGCUAGCGUUGUUCGGAAUUACUGGGCGUAAAGCGCACGUAGGCGGCUUUGUAAGUUAGAGGUGAAAGCCCGGGGCUCAACCCCGGAACUGCCUUUAAGACUGCAUCGCUUGAAUCCGGGAGAGGUGAGUGGAAUUCCGAGUGUAGAGGUGAAAUUCGUAGAUAUUCGGAAGAACACCAGUGGCGAAGGCGGCUCACUGGACCGGUAUUGACGCUGAGGUGCGAAAGCGUGGGGAGCAAACAGG
rnacentral:rRNA from 1 species